CGCAGCUCAGAGGGGGGUGUUUCAUUUCCACUCGAGGCAUCGGAUGGAGCCUGGGACUAAAGCGGGCUGGCCUCCCACUGUGGGACGGCAGUAGACGGGUCAACGCACCGCAGACAUGGAGCUCCGCAGGAGCCGCAGUUCAACAGCGGCAGCAGCUACCAGAUGGGUCUUUGAAGGGCACAGUGUGUGUGAUGCUACCGACGUCAGGCCCUCCAGGAGAGGAGAGAUGCCACACUGUGUUAGUGUGACAUUCAGAGAGAAGCUUGUGCGUCUGACAGGGAGGGAAUACAUCCGAAAAUAAACCAACACUCUGCAGCAUCUGCGAGGCAGAUCCUCCAGGGCUGCAGCCAGGUGCCCUCUAAGAAAGAACAGUGUGCGUGCAAUGAAAGCUUAAAAUGUUAUGUGUGCGUAUGUGUGUGUGUGUGUGUGUGUGUGAGAAUAAAAGGGUGCAAAUGCAUGUGUGUGCACAGAUGCAUUCAUGCAUUUCACACAAGUGAGCUGCACCUGCAGAAGCUGUUUGGGAUCCUAUAAACAAUUAACGUGCACGGCUGUGAGUUGCUGUGACCUUACUCUGCUUGAUAAGUUUAUCAAAUAAUUACAUCUGUCUUUUUGAACCACUCAUUUUCAGCCUCUGCAUCAUUAUAUGGUUAGAGAUUGUAAAGAUCAGAUAUGUAAGUGAUAGUUAUUCCUGUAAUUAGGGGUAUAACAUAAGCUUGGAGCACUGCGCCAAGCACAAUAAAUACCUUUGUUGAAUAUAUCUGCUUAUAGAUAUUUAAAGGAGCUUGUGCUCUUUUAAUCGCUGUUGCACAUAAAACUCUUUGGCAGGCUUUCACAGACGCACAUUUGUUGAUUGUUUUGGCCUAUUUGGACAAAGAGGAUGUCAAGAUGAAUGUUAUUUUUCAAAUUGAUCUGACAUCAAGUUAGCAGGUCAAUCACAAGAGUCCUGAACUGUGUAAUAAAACAUUUCUUUUUCG